CGAAAUAGCUUUAGGGCUAGCCUCAAGUGAUGAUUAUUGGAGGUAGAGCACUGUUUGGACGAGGGGCCCCUCUAGGGUUACCGAAUUCAGACAAACUCCGAAUGCCAAAUAAUUUAACUUGGGAGUCAGACUAUGGGUGAUAAGGUCCGUAGUCGAAAGGGAAACAGCCCAGACCACCAGCUAAGGUCCCAAAAUAUAUGUUAAGUGGAAAAGGAUGUGGCGUUGCCCAGACAACUAGGAUGUUGGCUUAGAAGCAGCCAUCAUUUAAAGAGUGCGUAAUAGCUCACUAGUCGAGUGACACUGCGCCGAAAAUGUACCGGGGCUAAACAUAUUACCGAAGCUGUGGAUUAUCCGUAAGGAUAGUGGUAGGAGAGCGUUCUAAACGUGUUGAAGCAUGAUCGUAAGGACAUGUGGAAUGUUUAGAAGUGAGAAUGCCGGUGUGAGUAGCGAAAGAUGGGUGAGAAUCCCAUCCACCGAUUGACUAAGGUUUCCAGAGGAAGGCUCGUCCGCUCUGGGUUAGUCGGGACCUAAGCCGAGGCCGAUAGGCGUAGGCGAUGGAUAACAGGUAGAUAUUCCUGUACCACCUAUGAUUGUUUGAACGAUGGGGGGACGCAGUAGGAUAGGCGAAGCGUGCUGUUGGAGUGCACGUCCAAGCAACAAGACUGAGUGUUAGGCAAAUCCGGCACUUAUAAGGUUGAGUUGUGAUGGGGAGCUGGAUCAUGUAUCCGGCGAGUCGUUGAUUUCACACUGCCAAGAAAAGCCUCUAGUUAGAAAAUAGGUGCCCGUACCGCAAACCGACACAGGUAGUCAAGAUGAGAAUUCUAAGGUGAGCGAGCGAACUCUCGUUAAGGAACUCGGCAAAAUGACCCCGUAACUUCGGGAGAAGGGGUGCUUUUUAGGGUGCAAGCCUUGAAGAGCCGCAGUGAAUAGGCCCAAGCGACUGUUUAUCAAAAACACAGGUCUCUGCUAAACCGUAAGGUGAUGUAUAGGGGCUGACGCCUGCCCGGUGCUGGAAGGUUAAGAGGAGUGGUUAGCUUCUGCGAAGCUACGAAUCGAAGCCCCAGUAAACGGCGGCCGUAACUAUAACGGUCCUAAGGUAGCGAAAUUCCUUGUCGGGUAAGUUCCGACCCGCACGAAAGGCGUAACGAUUUGGGCACUGUCUCAACGAGAGACUCGGUGAAAUCAUAGUACCUGUGAAGAUGCAGGUUACCCGCGACAGGACGGAAAGACCCCGUGGAGCUUUACUGUAGCCUGAUAUUGAAAUUUGGCACAGCUUGUACAGGAUAGGUAGGAGCCUUUGAAGCGUGAGCGCUAGCUUACGUGGAGGCGCUGGUGGGAUACUACCCUGGCUGUGUUGACUUUCUAACCCGCACCAUUUGAUCAUGGUGGGAGACAGUGUCAGGCGGGCAGUUUGACUGGGGCGGUCGCCUCCUAAAGAGUAACGGAGGCGCUCAAAGGUUCCCUCAGAAUGGUUGGAAAUCAUUCGCAGAGUGUAAAGGCACAAGGGAGCUUGACUGCGAGACUUACAAGUCGAGCAGGGUCGAAAGACGGACUUAGUGAUCCGGUG
rnacentral:rRNA from 2 species